rnacentral:rRNA from 1 species
ACGGCCGCNAGUACCCCUGUACUGUGCAAAGGUAGCAUAAUCAAUUGCCCUCUAAUUAAGGGCUUGUAUGAAUGGACCUACGAGCUUCUUCCUAUAUUUGUUUUUUAAUGAAACCUAAUUAAUGAGUGAAAAAGCUCAUAUUAAACUGAAAGACAAGAAGACCCUAUAGAGCUUAACCUAACAGUUAUUUAUUAUAACCAUAAGUUUAGUUGGGGCAACUAACACUCAACCAAGCACUUUUACCCCCCCCGGCCUUWCGCCUUCCACCAGAUCCAAAAAAUUGAUCUAUAGAAAUAGCUACCUUAGGGAUAACAGGCUAAUUUCUUUUAAGAGCACAAAUUGACAAAGAAGUUUGGCACCUCGAUGUUGGYUNCUAGGUCSCCUGUACAGCGCAGCAGCUUACAAAGGUGGG